AUGCUCUGGUUUCUCUUCAUUUCGAGGUAAUCUUUCGCCUUUUACUAAAGAUUACCGUGGAGAGGAACAUUACGAUGAGCCUAUAAAUAAUUUUUGGAAUCCUCAGCUGAUGGUGGGGU
rnacentral:snRNA from 1 species